rnacentral:rRNA from 1 species
CCUACGGGUGGCUGCAGUGAGGAAUAUUGGUCAAUGGACGCAAGUCUGAACCAGCCAUGCCGCGUGCAGGAAGACGGCUCGAUGAGUUGUAAAAUGCUUUUGUACGAGGGUAAACGCAGAUACGCGUAUCUGUCUGAAAGUAACGUACGAAUAAGGAUCGGCUAACUCCGUGCCAUCAGCCGCGGUAAUACGGAGGAUUCAAGCGUUAUCCGGAUUUAUUGGGUUUAAAGGGUGCGUAGGCGGUCGGAUAAGUUAGAGGUGAAAUUGAGGGGCUCAACCCCUUCCCGCCAUUGAAACUGGCGCUCUUGAGUGGAAGAGAAGUAUGCGGAAUGCGUGGUGUAGCGGUGAAAUGCAUAGAUAUCACGCAGAACCCCGAUUGCGAAGGCAGCAUGCCGGCUUCCUACUGACGCUGAAGCACGAAAGCGUGGGGAUCGAACAGGAUUAGAUACCCUUGUAGUC